UGGCGGACGGGUGAGUAAUGUCUGGGAAACUGCCUGAUGGAGGGGGAUAACUACUGGAAACGGUAGCUAAUACCGCAUAACGUCGCAAGACCAAAGAGGGGGGACCUUCGGGCCUCUUGCCAUCGGAUGUGCCCAGAUGGGGAUUAGCUAGUAGGUGGGGGUAAAGGGCUCACCUAGGCGACGAUCCCUAGCUGGUCUGAGAGGAUGACCAGCCACACUGGAACUGAGACACGGUCCAGACUCCUACGGGAGGCAGCAUG
rnacentral:rRNA from 1 species